GUUGAAACACCGUUUCUCGUACGGUUACCGAAGUUAAGAAACGUCAAGCAUGGUCAGUACCUAGAUGGGUGACCACCUGGAAAUUCCAGGUGCUGUAAG